rnacentral:lncRNA from 1 species
CUCCCCAUAAAGUUGUUUCAUCAUUUAAAUAUUGCUUUUUUUAACUUAAAAAAAUCUUGUUUGUACCUUAUUAUUUUCUUAGUAAAGCCUCAGACUUGGUUGAAGAUUUAUUUAACCAUCUUCCUGGGAGCUGCUAACUUGGCUGCUUGUAUCUGCUUUUCAACAUAGGUUUUGGUUCUGAUCAGCUGACUGAAUCUGUUUUAUCCACUAAAUGAAAUGUCCUUUGUGUUCAAGUUGAUAAAAUAUACAAUUGUCACAAAAAUGUUCCAACGCAUCUCUCAUUUUCUUUUUCCGUUCAAGGCUACUGGAGUAUUUUUCAUAUACUAGUAUAAUACAAAUAAUUUAUUGAAUUCAUUCAUAAAAGGCUAUAAAAUACCAGAUGUGCGUUAAGCAAGUAACUUGCAUUUUGAAAAUUUACCAAAUGUUUAU